rnacentral:rRNA from 1 species
AUGCAGUCGAGCGGAUGAAGGGAGCUUGCUCCUGGAUUCAGCGGCGGACGGGUGAGUAAUGCCUAGGAAUCUGCCUGGUAGUGGGGGAUAACGUCCGGAAACGGGCGCUAAUACCGCAUACGUCCUGAGGGAGAAAGUGGGGGAUCUUCGGACCUCACGCUAUCAGAUGAGCCUAGGUCGGAUUAGCUAGUUGGUGGGGUAAAGGCCUACCAAGGCGACCAUCCGUAACUGGUCUGAGAGGAUGAUCAGUCACACUGGAACUGAGACACGGUCCAGACUCCUACGGGAGGCAGCAGUGGGGAAUAUUGGACAAUGGGCGAAAGCCUGAUCCAGCCAUGCCGCGUGUGUGAARAAGGUCUUCGGAUUGUAAAGCACUUUAAGUUGGGAGGAAGGGCAGUAAGUUAA